UGGAUUGUCUUUUAUCAGACUUGAUUAUUUACAGACAGCCGUCAUAUUGCUGAGAGUGGCGUUAUACAACAAACAAACAACUCCUAUGUAAAUCAUAGCUUGGUGUUAACAAAUAUCUGUCAACGAAAGUAAAUAGUUUAACAUGUUUCUGCCUCAGAGGGACAAGUUGAUAGUAACUGUACGCAUAUCUUUUAUUGAUGUACAUAAGACAAUGAAAUGCUUACAACACGAGAAUUAGAGAAUGUUUUGAUUUGUUUUGUGAUUUCAAAAAAUAUUUGCUUAAAUUUUCAUCCAUACUUUUAAUGUGAAAUGUUAUGGGUUUUUUGGUUCACAAAAACUAGCAAAGAAACACGGUGGAAACUCAUGUUGAACCGCAUACUUCCAUCCAUCGCAGUUGACGAACAGAGUUUGUAGCCAUCGGAUCGCGGGUUAGGAUGUCUCUACGUGGUAUUUUUCAUUUGAUUUCGAGAAUAAAUAAUAAUGUAUAAUGAGCGGAACAUUUGUACAAUAUUGUAAACAUAUGGAAGAUUAAUUCAUUUGGGACAAAAAAGUUCCUUUCGUUGGAGUUACAAGUAAGGUUUUCUAUUCAUUUACUUAUAAGGAGCGGUCGGGUAGCCUAGUGGUUCGCGUUCGCUCGUCACACCGAAGACCCGGGUUCAAUUCCAAAUAUUGGUACAAUGUGUGAAGCUCAUUUCUGGUGUUACCCGCCGAGAUAUUGCUGGGAUAUUGGUAAAAGUGGCGAAACAUUACAUUGCUGCGUCACACUGUAUCAAACAAACAAACAAACAAACAAAAAGGAUAUGGUAUAGGUAUCAGCACCUAUAAAGAAAGAAAGAAACAAGUUGAAAUCCAUUGUUUAAUAGGCAUUACUUUAAAGUUGACGGAUGGGCUUGCUUGACAACAAUAUAAGGAUCUUUAUACAAACGUCGCCUUUACAGUAAAUAAAGAAGUUGUUGUCCAUAGAAUAUCUCUACUUAAUCAAGUUGAAAUCCAUACGUCGCAUGUCUACUCAACAUGUACUUUCGAAACGAUACGUACCUUUCUUAUGAUUACUACCCUACGACACAAUCUCCAUUCAAGUACCCUUCAGUGUACCUACAAGUGCCGCUUGUGGAGUGAUGGGUCACCUCGGUCCUUCAACCCUGUUUAUCGCAUGCUAAAUACGUUAUAUUCCCACCGUAUCAUUCACAUCCGCGACGACACGUUAAAGACACGUGCUACACACAUGAUCAGGAUUUAUUUAGUAGGUCAUACACUAUCGCUUACCCGUACUGUCAUUGCCGUCGGUCAGCGUCUCCUUUCAACCAGAAGCUAACCUGUUAACGCUAUGGCCGAACACACCCCCAUGACCAUGUCACUAAAUAAUGGCCUUUCUAUGCCUGCAGUGGGAUUUGGGACAUUCAACAAGCUGGUGGUCAAUGACAGGGUCAUGAUAGACGCUGUGAAGACAGCCAUUGACGUCGGCUUCCGUCAUUUGGAUGCAGCGUGGUAUUACAACAACGAGACAGACGUAGGUCAGGCCAUCAAGGAGAAGAUACAAGACAAAACAGUGACGAGAGAGGAGCUCUUCAUUACGUCAAAACUGUGGUCCAACUUCAUGGCACCGGGGAGAGUUGAGGAAGCGGUGAGGCUGUCUCUGGAAGACCUUGGUGUAGCCUAUCUGGAUCUGUACCUGGUACACUGGCCUACACCCACAGAGGACAGCCCCGAUGACCGGACCUUCAGUGCUCCGGUUCAUGACCACAAGAUCGAUUACCUGGACACGUGGAAGGCAAUGGAGAAACUUGUGGAGAAGGGACUUGUUCGCAGUAUCGGAAUUAGCAAUUUUAAUUUAAGCCAGGUUGAAAGACUACUGAACAUGGAUGGGCUGAAAAUCACACCUUCAAACCACCAAAUUGAGAUCCACCCGCUUCUGAACAACAAAGACCUUGUACAAUACUGUCAGAGUAAGGGAAUAUCCGUCACGGCAUACUGCCCUCUCGGGGGUAUGUCGGGAAAUGUAGGGAUUGUCAACAACCCGACACUGGCAGCAGUGGGCAAGAAGUAUGGAAGGUCUGCAGCUCAGGUAGCCCUGAGAUGGGGGCUACAGAGAGGAUAUGCAGUUCUGACGAAGAGUAUGAAAGCGGAGCGGAUAAAGCAUAAUUUCCAGUUGUCUGACUUUGAAUUAAGUGACGAGGAUAUGGACGUGGUCUAUUCUGUCAAUAGUGACACACGCAUGGUGGUACCAGCCAUGUAAGUUUUGUUCAGUUCCUGCCGUUCAAGGGUCAUCGGUUCUGUCCUUUCUAGAUCGCAGGCUUUGGAAGCGUAUACUACAGCUAAAAGGAAAUAAAACAAGGCUUGCAAGGUUCUACCUCACACGUCAUUAGUAUGACGUCACACCACUCAGUGACGCAAACCAUAUGACGUCACAGUCGGAUAUAGAAAAUCGCCAAGUCUCAAGACCUCUGUCUCUCCUCAAACCUGAAAUACAAAUUCUUUGUCGAUAUCUAUCGCGAGUUCUGCUCAAAAUGCUUUGCCACAAUUACGUUGAAUAUUAUUUAACCGCAAAUAUAUGUUUGUACAA